rnacentral:rRNA from 1 species
UACGUAGGGUGCGAGCGUUGUUCGGAAUCACUGGGCGUAAAGCGUGCGUAGGCGGCCAUUCAAGCCAGAGGUGAAAGCCUGGAGCUUAACUCCAGAAUUGCCUUUGGAACUGUAUGGCUAGAGUGUCGGAGGGGAUAGCGGAAUUGCUAAUGUAGCGGUGAAAUGCGUAGAUAUUAGCAGGAACACCGGUGGCGAAGGCGGCUAUCUGGACGACAACUGACGCUGAGGCACGAAAGCGUGGGGAUCAAACAGG